CCUACGUGAGGCAGCAGUGGGGAAUAUUGCACAAUGGGGGAAACCCUGAUGCAGCGACGCCGCGUGAGUGAAGAAGUAAUUCGUUAUGUAAAGCUCUAUCAGCAGGGAAGAAAAUGACGGUACCUGAGUAAGAAGCCCUGGCUAACUACGUGCCAGCAGCCGCGGUAAUACGUAGGGGGCAAGCGUUAUCCGGAUUUACUGGGUGUAAAGGGAGCGUAGACGGCAGUGCAAGUCUGGAGUGAAAGGCGGGGGCUCAACCCCCGGACUGCUCUGGAAACUGUACGGCUGGAGUGCAGGAGAGGUAAGUGGAAUUCCUGGUGUAGCGGUGAAAUGCGUAGAUAUUAGGAGGAACACCAGUGGCGAAGGCGGCUUACUGGACUGUAACUGACGUUGAGGCUCGAAAGCGUGGGGAGCAAACAGGAUUAGAUACCCCAGUAGUC
rnacentral:rRNA from 1 species